rnacentral:rRNA from 1 species
GAUGAACGCUAGCGGCAGGCCUAACACAUGCAAGUCGAGGGGUAGAAGGAGCUUGCUCCUUUGAGACCGGCGCACGGGUGCGUAACGCGUAUGCAAUCUACCUUGUACAGGGGAAUAGCCCAGAGAAAUUUGGAUUAAUGCCCCAUAGUAUAUAACCUUCGCAUGUUGGUUAUAUUAAAGUUCCAACGGUACAAGAUGAGCAUGCGUCCCAUUAGUUAGUUGGUAAGGUAACGGCUUACCAAGACGAUGAUGGGUAGGGGUCCUGAGAGGGAGAUCCCCCACACUGGUACUGAGGCACGGACCAGACUCCUACGGGAGGCAGCAGUGAGGAAGAUUGGUCAAUGGUCGCAAGACUGAACCAGCCAUGCCGCGUGCAGGAAGACGGUCCUAUGGAUUGUAAACUGCUUUUAUACAGGAAGAAACCCUCCCACGUGUGGGAGCUUGACGGUACUGUAGGAAUAAGGAUCGGCUAACUCCGUG